rnacentral:rRNA from 1 species
GAUGAACUGUGGGUAGCGGAGAAAUUCCAAUCGAACCCGGAGAUAGCUGGUUCUCCCCGAAAUAGUUUUAGGACUAGCCUCAAGUUAGAUACCUGGAGGUAAAGCACUGAAUAGCCUAGCGGCCGAGAGGUUAGCGAAGCUUAUCAAACUCAGAAUGCCAGAGUAUUGAUGCUUGGGAGUCAGACAGUGUCAGAUAAAUGUCAUUGUCAAAAGGGAAACAGCCCAGAUCUACAGCUAAGGUCCCAAAGUCAGGUUAAGUGGAAAACGAUGUGAAGAUACGCAGACAACCAGGAUGUUGGCUCAGAAGCAGCCACUCAUUCAAAGAGUGCGUAAUAGCUCACUGGUCGAGCGUCUUUGCGCGGAGAAUUUAACGGGGCUAAACCUGACACCGAAGCUUAGGCAAUACAGCAAUGUAUUGGGUAGGGGAGCGUUGUAUACGCGGUGAAACAGUAGCGUAAGCGGCUGUGGAGUGUAUAGAAGUGAGAAUGCCGGAAUGAGUAGCGCGAAUGCAGUGAGAAUCUGCAUGGCCGAAAGCCUCAGGUUUCUGGAGGAAGGUUCGUCCGCUCCAGGUUAGUCGGGAGCUAAGGUGAGGCCUAACGGCGUAGCCGAUGCACAGACGGUAGAGAUUCCGUCACCACCAAAAGAGUUAAGCACAGGGACACAUUUGAAGUCUCAGAGCCGGGUGUUGGUUCCGGUAGAGAUCGAGGGAAAUUAGUACCGAAGUCUGAGAUGGAAGAUGGCGAGAAAAGCUGUGUGUAUUUCUGAGGUGCCCGUACCGCAAACCGACACAGGUAGGUAGGAAGAAGAUUCUAAGGCCAACGGGAGAAGGGUUGUUAAGGAACUCGGCAAAUUGACCCCGUAACUUCGGGAGAAGGGGUGCUCCAGAGAUGGAGCCGCAGAGAAUCGGCCCAAGCAACUGUUUACCAAAAACACAGGUUUGUGCUAAAUCGAAAGAUGACGUAUACGAGCUGACGCCUGCCCGGUGCUGGAAGGUUAAGAGGAGAUGUGCAAGCAUUGAAUCGAAGCCCCAGUGAACGGCGGCCGUAACUAUAACGGUCCUAAGGUAGCGAAAUUCCUUGUCAGGUAAGUUCUGACCCGCACGAAAGGCGUAAUGAUUUGGGCACUGUCUCAACAGCCCGCCCGGCGAAAUUGUAGUACCGGUGAAGAUGCCGGUUACCCGCGACAAGACGGAAAGACCCCAUGGAGCUUUACUGUAGCCUAAUAUUGGGUUUCGAUGUUGCAUGCACAGGAUAGAUGGGACACAGGGAAACAAUCGCUUUGGCGGUUGCGGAGUGGCCGUUGGGAUACCAUCCUUGCGAUAUUGGAAUUCUAACCUGCGGCUCUGAAUCGAGUCGGGGGACAUUGUUAGGUGGGCAGUUUGACUGGGGCGGUCGCCUCCUAAAAAGUAACGGAGGCGUUCAAAGGUUCGCUCAGCUUGAACGGAAAUCAAGCAAAAGAG